rnacentral:rRNA from 1 species
CGCGUAGGCGGAAUAGUCAGUCAGUGGUGAAAUCCUACAGCUUAACUGUAGAACUGCCAUUGAUACUUCUAUUCUUGAGUUCAGUUGAGGUAGGCGGAAUGUGUAGUGUAGCGGUGAAAUGCUUAGAUAUUACACAGAACACCGAUUGCGAAGGCAGCUUACUAAACUGACACUGACGCUGAGGCACGAAAGCGUGGGGAGCGAACAGGAUUAGAUACCCUGGUAGUCC